AUUGAACGCUGGCGGCAUGCCUUACACAUGCAAGUCGAACGGCAGCACGGGAGCAAUCCUGGUGGCGAGUGGCGAACGGGUGAGUAAUAUAUCGGAACGUGCCCAGUCGUGGGGGAUAACGUAGAGAAAUUUACGCUAAUACCGCAUACGAUCUAAGGAUGAAAGCGGGGGAUCGCAAGACCUCGCGCGAUUGGAGCGGCUGAUAUCAGAUUAGGUUGUUGGUGAGGUAAAAGCUCACCAAGCCGACGAUCUGUAGCUGGUUUGAGAGAACGACCAGCCACACUGGGACUGAGACACGGCCCAGACUCCUACGGGAGGCAGCAGUGGGGAAUUUUGGACAAUGGGCGAAAGCCUGAUCCAGCAAUGCCGCGUGCAGGAAGAAGGCCUUCGGGUUGUAAACUGCUUUUGUACGGAACG
rnacentral:rRNA from 1 species